ensembl:lncRNA
AAGCUUCCUUCCUUUUGCACCAAGGAGCAGGGGCUUUUCCUAAUGCUUGGUGACGCUAUUGAGAGAUAACCACUAUCAUCUGUUGUAUCUACUCCGUAUGGAAAGCCACACACUUUGCUGCCAUCCCUGAUCUCAGGAGACGUUCCCAGCAGCCCUUUAGGUAGGGCACAGACACACACACACACCCACAUUUUACAGACAUCCUCUAAGCGAGGCAUUCCAAGGAGCCCCAUUUUGAGGAUGGGGAAACUGAGACUCUGGGAGGAAUUUCUGGAGGUCAUGCUCAAGAAUUGGGAACGGCAAAUGAGUUUUGGCUUCUUCAUCAAGAUGAAUUGAUUCCUAAUGGCCACUUGGAAGCACAGCGUUGAGAAGGAUUUGCUCAGUGGGAAAGACUGUCCGCCAUCGAUUGGUGCUGUCUGCCAUCCUGUUCGUUUCGUGCUGUCUGUCUUGCGUGCAGGAUUAGCAGUCGUGGUGCAAGCGCUGAGAUUAUCUGCUGAGUUUUGUCUGGAACUUAACAACAACAAGUCCGUGUUCGUUAAAAUAAAAAAUUAAGCUAAUGUUUUUGAUGGUUCAAAUUUUACAUUUGAAAAAUACAAUAGGAUUCCAUAAAGAUUUAUUUUUUUGAAAGGAAUACUGUGAAAAGUCUGUCUUACUUCUGACUUCUUGACAUCCAGAAAUACCCUUCGCCCUAAG